GCCGGGUGCAGUGGCUUGCACCUGUAAUCCCAGCACUUUGGGAGGCCGAGGUGGGUGGAUCACCUGAGGUCAGGAGUUCGAGACCAGCCUGACCAACAUGGAGAUACUCUGUCUCUA
rnacentral:SRP_RNA from 1 species